rnacentral:rRNA from 1 species
UACAGAGGUCCCGAGCGUUGUUCGGAUUCAUUGGGCGUAAAGGGUGCGUAGGCGGCGGGGCAAGUCUGAUGUGAAAUCCCGGGGCUCAACCCCGGAACUGCAUUGGAUACUGCCUUGCUCGAGUACUGGAGAGGGAACUGGAAUUUACGGUGUAGCAGUGAAAUGCGUAGAGAUCGUAAGGAAGACCAGUGGCGAAGGCGAGUUUCUGGACAGUUACUGACGCUGAGGCACGAAGGCCAGGGGAGCAAACGGG